rnacentral:ncRNA from 1 species
GCGUGAGGACGACCUCCCCCGUCAUGGGUAUCGUUUCGGGACGGCCCGG